rfam:Danio rerio chromosome 20, GRCz11 reference primary assembly.
GCCGGCAGCUAGCACUCUGCAACUUUCGCAUGGUUGCCCACUGAAGCUAAGCAUGGCUGCACCUGGUGAGUACCUGGAUGGGAGACCACAUGGGAAAGCUGAGUUACUGCCAGAA